GACGAACGCUGGCGGCGUGCUUAACACAUGCAAGUCGAGCGGUAAGGCCCCUUCGGGGGUACACGAGCGGCGAACGGGUGAGUAACACGUGGGUGACCUGCCCUCAGCUCUGGGAUAAGCCUGGGAAACUGGGUCUAAUACCGGAUAUGACUCCAUGACGCAUGUCGUGGGGUGGAAAGCCUUGUGCGGCUGGGGAUGGGCCCGCGGCCUAUCAGCUUGUUGGUGGGGNGAUGGCCUACCAAGGCGACGACGGGUAGCCGGCCUGAGAGGGCGACCGGCCACACUGGGACUGAGACACGGCCCAGACUCCUACGGGAGGCAGCAGUGGGGAAUCUUGCGCAAUGGGCGAAAGCCUGACGCAGCGACGCCGCGUGAGGGAUGACGGCCUGGUGUAACGU
rnacentral:rRNA from 1 species